rnacentral:lncRNA from 1 species
CAAAAACAUAAAGUUUGGUGGGAAUGUAAAUUGGUAUAGACACAAUGGAAAACAAUAUGGCAGUUCCUCAAAAAAUUAAAAAUGUGAUCCGGCCAUUCCACUUCUGGGUAUUUACCCAAACGAACUGAAAGCAAGGUCUUGAACAGAUAUUUGUGCACCCUUGUUUAUAGCAGCACUAUUCACCAUAGCUAAACGGUACAUCCAGCCUGAGUGUCCAUGGACGAACAAAUGGAUACACAAAGUGUAGUAUAUACAUGUAUACAAUGGAAUAUUAUUCAGCCUUAAAAAGGAAGGCCAUUGGGACAUAUGUUACAACAUGGAUGAACCUUGAGGACAUGAUGCUAACAAUGAGGUACUUAGAGUAGUCAGAUUUAUAGAGACAGAAAGUAGCAUGGUGGUUGCAGGGACUAGGGGGUGGGGAGAAUGGGAGCUAAUGUUUGAUGGAGACACAGCUUCCGUUUGGAAACAUGAAAACAAUUCUGGAGAUGGAUGGUGGUGAUUGUUGCAAAAUAACGUAAAUGUAGUUAAUGCCACUGAAAUGUAUACUUAAAAUGGUAAAUUUUAUAUUAUAUAUAUUUUACCACAAUAAAAAAAAAAAUGCGGGCUGAGUGCAGUGGCUCAUACCUGUAAUUCCAGCAUUUUGGGAGGCCGAGGAGGGAGGAUCACUUGAGCCCAGGAGUUUGAGACCAGCUAGGGCAACAUGGCAAAACCUCAUCUCUACAAAAAAUAAAAAUAAAAGGCUGGGCACGAUGGCUCACGCCUGUAAUCCCAGCACUUUGGGAGGCCGAGGCAGGAGGAUCAGGUCAGGAAAUCGAGACCAUCCUGGCUAACAUGGUGAAAACCCAUCUAUACCAAAACUACAAAAAUUAGCCGAGCACGGUGGCAUGUGCCUGUAAUCCCAGCUACUCGGGAGGCUGAGGGAGGAGAAUCUCUUGAACCCAGGAGGUGGAGGUUGCAGUGAGCGUGCCACUGUACUCCACCCUGGGCGACAGAGCCAGACUCAGUAUCAAAAAAAAAAUAAUAAUAAAAUAAGGCCGGGCACAGUGGCUCACGUCCAUAAUCCCAGCACUUUGGGAGGCCAAGGUGGGCAGAUCACCUGAGGUGAGGAGUUCGAGACCAACAAGACAAAAUCCUGUCUCUACUAAAAAUACAAAAAUUGGCCUACAAAAAUUAGCUGGGCACCGGGUGCGGUGGUCCACGCUCUUUUGCUGUGUGGUGUCUGCUCUGUCUUCACUCUGGUUCCUCAGUGCCUGUGCUUACAUAUGAGUUAUCUGGCUGGUAGCUCCGAUUUGGCUCAGAAUCACAUCUGAUCACAUUAAUGAGCCCUGACACUCCCUGACCUCCCUGCUAGGCAUUCCUGAUCACGUUGUUUUCUUCGUAGCCUUUACCACUGCUGGAAAUCAUCUCUUAUUUGUUUACCAAUUUAAUAUCCCCCUUCCAACUAGAAUUUAAACUCUUAGAGAGCAGGGAUGGCGUCUGCCUUGUAUCCCCAGCACCCGGAGCCGUGCCUUGUAUACUGGAGAUGCUCAGUAAACAGCCGUGGAUGGAAUGAAUCUUGAAGCAGCACUGUUAGACCCUCCCAGCUCCAAGCAUCCCUCCUGCAUGCUCCCUCGGUGCUCUUAAGCUGGAGAAGCUGUUGG